GCGCAGUUGAAAACAAACCAAAAAUAUCUUCAUAGAAACUUUCAAAUAUCACCGGAUCUUUGCUAUGCUCUUGGCCAUCACUAAUAAAUGGAUUCUGAAGACAGAUUUGCCUCAACUAUUCUUCUAGGAGAGGGACAAGUUUGUUUUUAACUUUGAUGGUGGUGAAUUCAAGAAUAUUUUUGCCCUAUUAAACAACAGUAUGAUCUACCUCAAGACUUGGCCUUAACUAGUUAAACUUUUGGAUCUCUGAAAGAACCCCAAUAGUUCCAGUGAAAGAAAUCUCAUAAUCCAGCAGUUGACAGAACUCUAACACCACCUAAGAUUGAAGAACCACUUUGGCUAAGGCAAAGCACAGGCAUGCGUUUCCCAGGUGUGGGCUCUGAUCCUGAAGAGAUGAGAGCUACUUUCCUUGAGUUAUACUGUGAUUGAGUGGGUUAUCUGCUUGAUUCAGAGAUUCCACUAGAAGCUUCCUUGGCCCUUUUUGCCCAGAUGCCAAAGAGCCGGGCAUUGCAUGGGCCAUGCGGAGGCUGGCAAAUGCCUUGAAGUUCUUCUCCUCUUCUGUGAUGACUCUGGCCUUCUCCUUCUUGUGGACAUUCCGGAUGGGCAUGACCGGUCCCGUCGUCUGUGUUGCCAGUUUGAGUUCUUCAGCUGAGCUGUCGCCUUCUUGGGGGCCGAAGGCUUCCUGGGGAAGAGGAAGAGCUUGGAGCAGUAUUCUUUGAGCCGCUGCGCGGUGGCCUGCAGGGACUCUCUCUGUGGACUGGUUCCGCCGCGGGUCCACCGAGAUGCCAAUGGUCCGCGCCACCUUCCUGCGGAGCCCGCCUCCCGGAGCUCCUCCAGGCUGGAGCCCCUGCAGCCCGCACCUUCGUGUGCCAACUCACCCUCACCGUGGGGCAGGGAAUAAAGAGAGCAAACAAAACAAAACAGAAAGAAAAGGAAAGGAGAGGAAAGGAGAGAAGAGAAAAAGAAAAAAAAGUCUACAUAUAUUAUACCAGAUUAAAGAUACUAUGGGAAUUUCUUCUGAUGUCUAGCCUGCUUGAGGAAAAAUUGAACAAAUUGCUUAACCUCUCCAAAUUUACUUUAUCAUUUAAAAAUUAGUAUGGCACACAUGGCAUUUCUUAUAUAUAAAAAUAUAAAUGCUAUUAAUAUGCAUUUUGUGUUGCUUCUUACCACUUUUUGUGUAUGUACUUUAUUAAUCUAGGAUAUUUACCCAAUGAAUCUUUAUACUUUUUUAUAGCAAUGCAUUUUACUUCCACCUUUCCACUUUUCUUCAAAAUUUAUAUUUUUUAUUAUAUUGUUAUAUUUAAUUAACUUUCCUUGGGAGCAUAGUAAAUUAAUUUUUUCUUCUUAAAGGUCAGUAUUAACCUCUAUUAUUAUCCUUAAAUCCAUCACUUUCCUUUACAGAUUCUAUCCAAUUCUUCUAACUCUCCUAUCCAAUUGUAGAUAUUAUUCUAGUUAAUUUUUUAAAUUUCUCUUAUGUGUAUCUUUCUUCCCUUCCCACCUGUCCCCUCCUUACCUCUGUUGCUCCAUUCUCACCCACGUUCUCGUUCUCUGUUUUUCUCUUAUCUCUUUCUUUCCAUCUCUGUUUUUCCCUCUUUCCCUCCCUAUCUCUCUUCCUCUUACCAAAAAGACUUGAAGUAGUUUUUUACAUGCCUGUAUUUUCUUAUUAUUUUAAUAGCUUAAUAUUUUACACUUGAAUAAUUUUAACUAUAUUUUAAUAUUUAGUUUUCUUUUUUAAUAUUUUAUCUAGUCAUUCAUGAGAGAUACAGAAAGAGAGGCAGAGAUGUAUGCAGAGGGAGAAGUAGGCUCCUCAAGGGGAGCCCAGCGUGGGCUCCAUCCCAGGACUCCGGGACCACUCCCUGAGCCAACAGCAGAUGAUCAACCACUGAGCCACCCAGGCAUCCCAAUAUUUAGUUUUCUUAUUUCUUUUACAUAUCAUUUUAUAAUGUUCUUUAUUUCUUCUAAUGUCCUUUUCCAGAAGUGUUUUUUUUCUUGAUACAUAAUGACAUAUUUUAUAAUCUCAAAUUCUGAGUGAUUUUUAGAUGAAAUUAUUUAUAAAUCCCAGAGUUUAUUAGAAACAAAUACUCUAAAAAAAAAGAAAUGAAUACUCUGCACCCAAAUUUUUUAUUCUUUUGUAUAUAGGCAGAGAAAUGUUUCUUGUAUCUAAUAUUUUAAUUAAAGCCUUGUAAAAUAAAACUCAACUAUUUAAAUCGAGUAUUUUUUGC
rnacentral:lncRNA from 12 species